GGCCCAGUAGCUCAGUUGGUUAGAGCGCUAGCCUGUCACGCUAGAGGUCGAGGGUUUAAGUCCCUUCUGGGUCG
rnacentral:tRNA from 1 species